rnacentral:lncRNA from 1 species
GAGGGUUGAGGAUGCUUGGAGCUGGAGAAAUUAAUUCCACCUGCCAGGGUUGGAAAGCGUGCAGAGAGGAAGCGACUUCUGAGCUGAUAAUAGGAUUUUACAAGGUGAUAAAGAGCGUUUCAAACAGAAAAGAAAGAAGAGGAAAAACACCGCAAAGAUGUGAACAGAGGCAUUCAGAGAAGAUGUUACGGGGAGAGGAGGUGACUCGCUGGGGCUGGAGCUGGAUCUUACCUUGCACUGAAGAGUCAGAAGCUUCUGCAGAGCCCUUUGGUGCGCCUGCUACCCCACCCAGCUUCUGUGUGGAAGAGCUGACAAGCCCCAGAACACCCAGUAUAUCAAGAAGGUGUUGCAAAGAUGAUGGCCACCGUGAAGGCAGAGAAAAUAUCCAUGUUACUUUCCAAGAUAAACAAAAGACAAACAGAUUUGCAGAGAAUACAGGUAGGUGGAGGUGGAGCUAAAGGUGUUUCUGUUGCUUCCUUUAGCUCUACCAAGGUAAAGGAAGAAACAGAAGUAAAAAAAGAAGCACUUUUAUAAUUUAGAAGAUGCUUGGGAUGACAUCAUGCUUGAGGAUGAUGACGGCUUAAUGAUACCUUAUCAAAUUGGUAAUGUUUUCAUUAGUCAUUCUCAAGAAGAAACAUAAGAAGGAUGGGUGCAGUGGCUCACACCUGUAAUCCCAGCACUUUGGGAGGCUGAGGCAGGAGGAUCGCUUGAGCCCAAGAGUUCAAGAUCAGCCUGGGCAACAUAGCAAAGCCGUAUCUCUACAAAAUACCAAAAAUUGGCAGGGCAUGGUGGCAUGCAUCUGUAGUCCCAGCUACUUGGGAGGCUGAGAAGGGAGCAUCAGUUGAGCCCAGGAGUUCAAGGCUGCAGUGAGCGAUGAUUGUGCUAUUGCACUGUGGCCUGGGCAGCAAAGCAAGACCUUGUUGAAGAAGAAUAGGAGGAGGAGGAGGAGGAGGAGGAGGAGGAGGAGGAGGAGGAGGAGGAAGAAGAAGAAGAAGAAGAAGAAGAAGAAGAAGAAGAAGAAGAAGAAGAAGAAGAAGAAGAAGAAGAAGAAGAAGAAGGAAGAAGGAAGAAGGAAGAAGGAAGAAGGAAGAAGGAAGAAGGAGAAGGAGAAGGAGAAGAGGAGGAGGAGGAGGAGGAGGAAGAAGAAGGAGGAGGAGGAGGAGAAAGGGGCAGGAGGUGGGCAGGACGAGGGAGGAGAAGGGGAGGAGGGGGAAGAAGGGGAGAAGGGAGGAGAAGGGAGAAGGGAGGAGAAGGGGAGGAGGAGAAAAGAAAUACAAAAAAAUGUUAGAAGAAGCAAAGAAAAAGACAAAUAAGCAAGACGAAAUUGAUGCCUCAGAGUCCACAUUAGGAUCAAUUUAAUGGGUGUCAGCAGAUUUAAGAGUUCAGUUCUAUGCAAAAUGUGGGAGCAACAUAAAUG